GUUUUGGUAUUCCUUCUCGAGCUUCUAUUUCUUCCGUUAAAGAAGAUUCGAGAAAAGAUAGAAUAAGAAGACGUGUUUCCAGAACAAACAAAAUACAAGUUAAGAAGAGGAAGUUAGCAAAGUUAGACAAGAUUGGAAUAAGCAUAGAAACAUGUAUUGAUGUACCAAAUCGGCUAAUGCUCCCAGGUUGAUGCAAUGUAUUCCACCAGUUGACUGAAAACUUGAUUAUUGGUAUAUCGAUCAGUCCAAUACAGAUUAAAAUAGAAGCCAGUUCGACAGAAAGCUUUUGAAAACACA
rnacentral:misc_RNA from 1 species